rnacentral:rRNA from 1 species
GAUGAACGCUGGCGGCGUGCCUAAUACAUGCAAGUCGAGCGAACGGACGAGAAGCUUGCUUCUCUGAUGUUAGCGGCGGACGGGUGAGUAACACGUGGAUAACCUACCUAUAAGACUGGGAUAACUUCGGGAAACCGGAGCUAAUACCGGAUAAUAUUUUGAACCGCAUGGUUCAAAAGUGAAAGACGGUCUUGCUGUCACUUAUAGAUGGAUCCGCGCUGCAUUAGCUAGUUGGUAAGGUAACGGCUUACCAAGGCAACGAUGCAUAGCCGACCUGAGAGGGUGAUCGGCCACACUGGAACUGAGACACGGUCCAGACUCCUACGGGAGGCAGCAGUAGGGAAUCUUCCGCAAUGGGCGAAAGCCUGACGGAGCAACGCCGCGUGAGUGAUGAAGGUCUUCGGAUCGUAAAACUCUGUUAUUAGGGAAGAACAUAUGUGUAAGUAACUGUGCACAUCUUGACGGUACCUAAUCAGAAAGCCACGGCUAACUACGUGCCAGCAGCCGCGGUAAUACGUAGGUGGCAAGCGUUAUCCGGAAUUAUUGGGCGUAAAGCGCGCGUAGGCGGUUUUUUAAGUCUGAUGUGAAAGCCCACGGCUCAACCGUGGAGGGUCAUUGGAAACUGGAAAACUUGAGUGCAGAAGAGGAAAGUGGAAUUCCAUGUGUAGCGGUGAAAUGCGCAGAGAUAUGGAGGAACACCAGUGGCGAAGGCGACUUUCUGGUCUGUAACUGACGCUGAUGUGCGAAAGCGUGGGGAUCAAACAGGAUUAGAUACCCUGGUAGUCCACGCCGUAAACGAUGAGUGCUAAGUGUUAGGGGGUUUCCGCCCCUUAGUGCUGCAGCUAACGCAUUAAGCACUCCGCCUGGGGAGUACGACCGCAAGGUUGAAACUCAAAGGAAUUGACGGGGACCCGCACAAGCGGUGGAGCAUGUGGUUUAAUUCGAAGCAACGCGAAGAACCUUACCAAAUCUUGACAUCCUUUGACAACUCUAGAGAUAGUGCUUUCCCCUUCGGGGGACAAAGUGACAGGUGGUGCAUGGUUGUCGUCAGCUCGUGUCGUGAGAUGUUGGGUUAAGUCCCGCAACGAGCGCAACCCUUAAGCUUAGUUGCCAUCAUUAAGUUGGGCACUCUAAGUUGACUGCCGGUGACAAACCGGAGGAAGGUGGGGAUGACGUCAAAUCAUCAUGCCCCUUAUGAUUUGGGCUACACACGUGCUACAAUGGACAAUACAAAGGGCAGCGAAACCGCGAGGUCAAGCAAAUCCCAUAAAGUUGUUCUCAGUUCGGAUUGUAGUCUGCAACUCGACUACAUGAAGCUGGAAUCGCUAGUAAUCGUAGAUCAGCAUGCUACGGUGAGUACGUUCCCGGGUCU